rnacentral:rRNA from 1 species
GCGUGGAAGCUGAUCGCAUGGUCUUCUGGGAAGCUUUCGCGGUAUGGGAUGGGGUCGCGUCCUAUCAGCUUGACGGCGGGGUAACGGCCCACCGUGGCUUCGACGGGUAGCCGGCCUGAGAGGGCGACCGGCCACAUUGGGACUGAGAUACGGCCCAGACUCCUACGGGAGGCAGCAGUGGGGAAUAUUGCACAAUGGGCGCAAGCCUGAUGCAGCGACGCCGCGUGAGGGAUGGAGGCCUUCGGGUUGUAAACCUCUUUUAUCGGGGAGCAAGCGUGAGUGAGUUUACCCGUUGAAUAAGCACCGGCUAACUACGUGCCAGCAGCCGCGGUAAUACGUAGGGUGCAAGCGUUAUCCGGAAUUAUUGGGCGUAAAGGGCUCGUAGGCGGUUCGUCGCGUCCGGUGUGAAAGUCCAUCGCUUAACGGUGGAUCCGCGCCGGGUACGGGCGGGCUUGAGUGCGGUAGGGGAGACUGGAAUUCCCGGUGUAACGGUGGAAUGUGUAGAUAUCGGAAAGAACACCA